rnacentral:tRNA from 1 species
GCGCCCGUGGCUCAGUUGGAUAGAGCGUUGGCCUCCGGAGCCAAAGGCCGCAGGUUCGAAUCCUGCCGGGCGCGCCA